AUUUUAGGUCUAAAGAUGCCUGGCAGAUGAAGUAAACUAGGUCAAAUUUGAUAUCAGAAAACUUGAUAUUCCAUUGGCUUUGUUCUAAAUUUAAGUAAAAUUGAAAUAUAUCCAACACUGUUUAAAAUCUUCUCUGAAAACAAUAAAUUUUGAAGAAUAAAA